GCUGUUUCGCAUCAGCGGUUUAGUUUAAUUUGAAUUUGGCGCCGUGCGCCCCCUGCGGCCACGCCGGUACUGCAGCACAGCCUGCCAUAGUUCCGCGCACCCCAGCUUUCACCAAUCAUAACUCGCCAAUCCGGUCACAUGACGGGCUAAGAUUAGAGAGGAAGGUAGCCAUGUUUGUAGGCAUUGUGUGGCGAGUGGUUCAUGGUAGUCCGCCUAAAUUAUCGCAAUCCGUGGACAGACAGCAGCGACGGAGCGUACAACGGAGAUUUUGGCGCAGCGGGGAACGAAGGGUACAACUACAACUUACAAGGUAGCUGGUCCUCCUUUACCACAGACAUGAAGGGGAAGAAUGACUGGAACCCUGCAGGCUUGUGUGAUUUUAGGUGCAGGAACCUUGCCCGUGUGGUCCGGGCUGACCUUGAUGAGAUGGGACUUAAGGGUAGACUUGAGUCGAGCGACAGGGUCAGCAAUGGAACGGGUUGACUGUGCAAGUCUGUUGAACUGGGCAUGGACCUCUUCAAUCCCCUGUUCCGCCAGGAAGCCGAGGCCGAAGCCCCAGCGGCGAAUACAGGGGACCACAUGCUCCUCAAACUGCCCUGACGGCUAUCACUAGCUACGGGACUGAGAGAAUGAUAGACAUGGAUCACUGCUGCUGUCUGUCGUGAAGCCCCUGCGACUUCUGCGGGUACGGGCCUGAACUGAACACAGACAAAGAAGUGCCUGGAGAGAAGUCUGAACUCUACAUCUUCAUGUCUAUCUUGUCCACAAUGACCUGGAGGUCACUGGAAAAGGUAGGUAGGCUAGGAAGGCCAGCUGGUUUUCCUGUUCCUCAACGAGGUCAUCCAACUCAUCCGCCUGGACCUGGAACACUUGAGCAUCGUCAAUGACGUUGAUGAAUUGCUCAAACGGCUUAAGGUGCUGGUCUUUCUUGACGUCUUCCCUGUCAGCCUCCUGUGCCAGGACCAAACUGUGAAGAGAAACAAAAGGCAUGACUCAUGCCCAGAAAUGGACCCUUAGCAAGUCAGCUUGAGUCUGCACUUAGCACCUUCAACAUGAGAGAUGUACCACAGUAGGACCUUUCUUGGCAAUCAUGUCAACAGUAGUCAUGCAUGGCUGAGACCAGGGAGACCAGGUAAGCGCAGGGUUUCGGCUCCACCCUCUUGCCUCCCUCCUCGUCCUUCGUCGUGAACGGCAGUUGUUCAGCCAUCACGUCCGUUGCCGAGAGGAGCUCGGAGGCAAUGUUUCUUGAGGUCCUUUCACUCUCUACAGCAAUGUUGUAGUCCUUCAUCCAUCUGUGAAAAAAAUGUCCCAGCAGGUGGCCAUCUGGGAUGCGGACCUGUGCGAAGCGGCCCUCCUGCAGAAGCCGGCUCAGCUGACUCCUGGGUAGGCGGCGCAGCUCGGCCGCCAUCUGCUGCUCUUCAGCACCCCCGCUGAUCUGUUCCCUG